rnacentral:rRNA from 1 species
GAUGAACGCUGGCGGCGUGCCUAAUACAUGCAAGUCGAGCGAACAGACGAGGAGCUUGCUCCUCUGACGUUAGCGGCGGACGGGUGAGUAACACGUGGAUAACCUACCUAUAAGACUGGGAUAGCUUCGGGAAACCGGAGCUAAUACCGGAUAAUAUAUUGAACCGCAUGGUUCAAUAGUGAAAGACGGUUUUGCUGUCACUUAUAGAUGGAUCCGCGCCGCAUUAGCUAGUUGGUAAGGUAACGGCUUACCAAGGCAACGAUGCGUAGCCGACCUGAGAGGGUGAUCGGCCACACUGGAGCUGAGACACGGUCCAGACUCCUACGGGAGGCAGCAGUAGGGAAUCUUCCGCAAUGGGCGAAAGCCUGACGGAGCAACGCCGCGUGAGUGAUGAAGGUCUUCGGAUCGUAAAACUCUGUUAUUAGGGAAGAACAAAUGUGUAAGUAACUAUGCACGUCUUGACGGUACCCAAUCAGAAAGCCACGGCUAACUACGUG